GAAAUGCGAUAAGUAAUGUGAAUUGCAGAAUUCAGUGAAUCAUCGAAUCUUUGAACGCACAUUGCGCCCGCCAGUAUUCUGGCGGGCAUGCCUGUCCGAGCGUCAUUUCAACCCUCGAACCCCUCCGGGGGGUCGGCGUUGGGGAUCGGCCUUCCUUCACGGGGGCCGUCUCCGAAAUACAGUGGCGGUCUCGCCGCAGCCUCUCCUGCGCAGUAGUUUGCACACUCGCAUCGGGAGCGCGGCGCGUCCACAGCCGUUAAACACCCAACUUCUGAAAUGUUGACCUCGGAUCAGGUAGGAAUACCCGCUGAACUUAA
rnacentral:misc_RNA from 1 species